CAGGUGGACACCAUAAUGACUUGAUAUAUGUUUAUAUUGCAAAGCUAUCACCACAAUUAGCCCCCGAGCAUGAUGUUUUAAAAGACACUACCCAUCGAACAAAUGGCAUUUUAAGUAACUACUUUCCCGUGGUGAUUAGACACAGAACUACCCAUCAAGCUUCUCACCGCCAAGAAAUACCACGUGGAGUUGCUAUAUUUGAGCCAAAGGUAAAGACACUUGAAACUUACUCUGCAUAUGGUGGUUAAAUAUAUGAUUUCAACUUUUAAAAUAUUGAAAUACUUCAGCAUGCCCUUUGCUAAGAGUUUCACUGGCCUCUUUGGAGACCUCAGAUGGAGAGUAACUAAAAUCCAUGUCUGAACUCACCGGUGCUCAUGGCAGCAAUAGACGCACAGGUGAACAUAGGGAGCCGCUGCUCCGGUUUUUGACCACGACUCAGCCAGCCCAUGUGAAGUGGCUUCUAGCCUCUCUCUUCUCAACAGACCCGGACAAUCCUCCUCAGCCCUCCCAGCCCCUGGUAUGGUGGGCUGUGAACUUCUGCUCCUCUUUGUGUGCUCACAGAGGCACGUACCCAAUACCGGUAGGCUCGUUACAUGUGUUCUAUUCAACUACCAUGGCUCCCCUGAGGUAAAGCAUAAAAUUCUC